CAGUGAACUUGGAAGAAGAAGCUGUCUCGAUACCUUUGAAGAUCCUUUCAUGUUAUGUGUGACAAGACCUACUGAACAUGCUGUGACAAAAUAAUCACAGAUCUCAGUGGAAGCUUCCAUGUUUACAGCAAUGCCUCCAUGAGAUUUGGAACAACAGACUUGUGUGUGAAGAUUAAAACGAGUCACUACGAUGAUUCAGAUGCUGCAGCUACAGGAUGUUACAGGAGACUGCCUGUCACCAUCACAAUCCUCUUACAGAUUUACUCCAGAUUGAUUUGGUGACAUAAUAAGGAUCUUACAGAACGGUCACCUUGUCUUCAAUAACCAGCAGGUAUGUGUUUAACCAGAUGACUGGGCUACGUGGAAACCACAAGAUGUGUGAUCGGUCUAUCAGAGCUAUUGUGUCAUAUUGUGUUUCUACUACACAUUUUUUUGUUUGAUCAAAUAGAACAACAUGG